rnacentral:rRNA from 1 species
GAUGAACGCUGGCGGCGUGCCUAAUACAUGCAAGUCGAGCGAACGGACGAGAAGCUUGCUUCUCUGAUGUUAGCGGCGGACGGGUGAGUAACACGUGGAUAACCUACCUAUAAGACCGGGAUAACUUCGGGAAACCGGAGCUAAUACCGGAUAAUAUUUUGAACCGCAUGGUUCAAAAGUGAAAGACGGUCUUGCUGUCACUUAUAGAUGGAUCCGCGCUGCAUUAGCUAGUUGGUAAGGUAACGGCUUACCAAGGCAACGAUGCAUAGCCGACCUGAGAGGGUGAUCGGCCACACUGGAACUGAGACACGGUCCAGACUCCUACGGGAGGCAGCAGUAGGGAAUCUUCCGCAAUGGGCGAAAGCCUGACGGAGCAACGCCGCGUGAGUGAUGAAGGUCUUCGGAUCGUAAAACUCUGUUAUUAGGGAAGAACAAAUGUGUAAGUAACUGUGCACAUCUUGACGGUACCUAAUCAGAAAGCCACGGCUAACUACGUG